AUUGAACGCUGGCGGCAGGCCUAACACAUGCAAGUCGAACGAGUGGCGGACGGGUGAGUAAUGUCUGGGAAACUGCCUGAUGGAGGGGGAUAACUACUGGAAACGGUAGCUAAUACCGCAUACCAUCGGAUGUGCCCAGAUGGGAUUAGGUAGUGGGUGGGGUAAAGGCUCACCUAGGCGACGAUCCCUAGCUGGUCUGAGAGGAUGACCAGACACACUGGAACUGAAAAACGGUCCAGACUCCUACGGUGGGAAGCAGGGGGGAAUAGUGCACAAGGGGCGCAAGCCUGAUGCAGCCAUGCCGGGGGUAUGAAGAAGGCCUUCGGGUUGUAAAGUACUUUCAGCGGGGAGGCGUUACCCGCAGAAGAAGCACCGGCUAACUCCGUGCCAGCCGCCGCGGUAAUAC
rnacentral:rRNA from 1 species